UACGUAGGGGGCGAGCGUUGUCCGGAUUCAUUGGGCGUAAAGAGCUCGUAGGCGGUUUGAUAAGUCGGGUGUGAAAUCUCCAGGCUCAACCUGGAGAGGUCACUCGAGACUGUUAUGACUAGAGUCCGGUAGGGGACCACGGAAUUCCUGGUGUAGCGGUGAAAUGCGCAGAUAUCAGGAGGAACACCAGUGGCGAAGGCGGUGGUCUGGGCCGGAACUGACGCUGAGGAGCGAAAGCGUGGGUAGCAAACAGG
rnacentral:rRNA from 3 species